rnacentral:rRNA from 1 species
UAGGGAAUCUUCGGCAAUGGACGGAAGUCUGACCGAGCAACGCCGCGUGAGUGAAGAAGGUUUUCGGAUCGUAAAGCCCUGUUGUAAGAGAAGAACGAGUGUGAGAGUGGAAAGUUCACACUGUGACGGUAUCUUACCAGAAAGGGACGGCUAACUACGUGCCAGCAGCCGCGGUAAUACGUAGGUCCCGAGCGUUGUCCGGAUUUAUUGGGCGUAAAGCGAGCGCAGGCGGUUAGAUAAGUCUGAAGUUAAAGGCUGUGGCUUAACCAUAGUACGCUUUGGAAACUGUUUAACUUGAGUGCAAGAGGGGAGAGUGGAAUUCCAUGUGUAGCGGUGAAAUGCGUAGAUAUAUGGAGGAACACCGGUGGCGAAAGCGGCUCUCUGGCUUGUAACUGACGCUGAGGCUCGAAAGCGUGGGGAGCAAACAGGAUUAGAUACCCUGGUAGUCCACGCCGUAAACGAUGAGUGCUAGGUGUUAGACCCUUUCCGGGGUUUAGUGCCGCAGCUAACGCAUUAAGCACUCCGCCUGGGGAGUACGACCGCAAGGUUG